AUGGGCUUCCGCCGGGACGACGAGGAGAAGGCGGCCACCGCGGUGGACGGAGUACCCCUCCCGGCGGCCUCUCCAAUCAAGACACGGAGGCACGCCGGCGACGUGCACCUCCUGUCGGCCGCCUUCUUCUUCCUCUUCUCCGCCUACCUUCCGACGCAGAACCUGCAGAGCACACUAAAUACCGACGGCGACAUGGGCGCCGUGUCGAUGGGGAUCCUGUACGUCUCCUUCACGCUCUUCGCAGUGGCGGCGUCACCGGUGGUGAGGUGGCUGGGCGCCAGGCUCGCGCUCGUCGUCGGCACCAGCGGCUACGCGCUCUUCAUCCUCGCCAACCUCCUUCCAACAUGGUAUACAAUGGUACCAGCUUCAGUGUACCUUGGUUUUACUGCGGCAAUCAUUUGGAUUGGGAAGGGAACAUAUCUUACCUCUGCUGCCCUCAGUCAUGCAAGAGACAAUAAUCUACCUGAUGGCCCGGCCGUAGGAAGAUUUAAUGGAGAAUUCUGGGGAGUGUUCGCUAGCACGCAGGUCAUUGGAAAUCUGAUCUCAUUUGCUGUACUCCAAAAUAGAAAGGGUGGCGGAACUGUAACAGGAAAAAAUCUGUUGUUUCUUGUGUUCCUUGGCUGCACGGUUAUCGGCAUUGUAUUAAUGUGUUUACUGUCCAAAAGAGAUGAGAAACAAGAUCAUUCUUCAGCACACUCAUCGUUUGGAGAUAUGUUGAAGUGUAUUGUUGCCCCUCUCAAGGACAGAAGGAUGCUUCUUUUAAUUCCUCUUAUGGCAUAUUCAGGGUUACAACAGGCAUUUGUAUGGGCUGUAUUCACAAAGAGUAUUGUGACACCUGUGCUUGGCCUAUCUGGAGUCGGCGGCGCCAUGGCAGUAUAUGGUGUAGCUGAUGUAGUUUGUUCAUUGUUCGCUGGACGUUUUACUUCUGGGCUUCAGUCAGCAACAUUUAUAGUGUCAGUCGGAGCCAUUCUUCAGGCUGUAGUCCUCUUCUGGCUGCUUCUCUUUUACCGCCCAAUGGGCGGACUAGUUGGUGCAGCGGCUCCACUAUUGAUAGGUGCCUUAUGGGGUGUUGGUAACGGAGUCCUGAACACACAGCUAAGUGCUUUACUUGGGUUGCUCUUCGAGGACGUCAAGGAGGCAGCUUUUGCACAGUUUAGGGUCUGGCAAUCAGGUGCCAUGGCAGUCAUCUUCUUCCUCAGCCAAGUCAUCACACUGCAAGCCAUGCUUAUCUUGAUGUCCACAUCGCUCGUCGUCUCUUUUGGCUCGUUCCUGACACUAACCCUUGUUGUCGACAAGUCAUCAUCAACCAUCAGAUUGUCAGGCUAUUAA
rnacentral:rRNA from 1 species